rnacentral:tRNA from 1 species
CAGAAAGUAGUUUAAUUAAAAAUUUUGGCUUUGGGAGUCAUUGAUAAGGGUUUAAUUCCUUUUUUUCUGA